rnacentral:rRNA from 1 species
GAUGAACGCUGGCGGCGUGCCUAAUACAUGCAAGUCGAGCGAAUGGAUUAAGAGCUUGCUCUUAUGAAGUUAGCGGCGGACGGGUGAGUAACACGUGGGUAACCUGCCCAUAAGACUGGGAUAACUCCGGGAAACCGGGGCUAAUACCGGAUAACAUUUUGAACCGCAUGGUUCGAAAUUGAAAGGCGGCUUCGGCUGUCACUUAUGGAUGGACCCGCGUCGCAUUAGCUAGUUGGUGAGGUAACGGCUCACCAAGGCAACGAUGCGUAGCCGACCUGAGAGGGUGAUCGGCCGCACUGGGACUGGGACACGGCCCAGACUCCUACGGGAGGCAGCAGUAGGGAUUCUUCCGCAAUGGGCGACAGUCGGAGGGAGCAACGCCGCGUGAGUGAUGAAGGCUUUCGGGUCGUAAAACUCUGUUGUUAGGGAAGAACAGGUGCUAGUUGAAUAAGCUGGCACCUUGACGGUACCUAACCAGAAAGCCACGGCUAACUACGUGCCAGCCGCCGCCGUAA